rnacentral:rRNA from 1 species
UGAGCAAUCUGCCCUUCUCAUCGGAAUAACCAUUGGAAACGAUGGCUAAUGCCGAAUAUGACCUCGGAACACAUGUUCUGAGGUGGAAAGCUCCGGCGGAGAAGGAUGAGCUCGCGGCCUAUCAGCUUGUUGGUGAGGUAAUAGCUCACCAAGGCGAUGACGGGUAGCCGGCCUGAGAGGGUGACCGGCCACACUGGGACUGAGACACGGCCCAGACUCCG